UCUUCAUGAAUUAUCUCACUUAAUUCUCACACCAGCCCGAUAAAAUAAUGAUUUUUAUUUUUCUCCAUUUUACAGACAGGGAGACUGAAACCAAGAAGAGUUAUGGAACUUCUGGAUAUUACACAGGCAGGGGGUGAGCCUGGAGCUCUGGCCCAGGCAGUCUGCCUCCAGCGGCUGUGCUUCCCACCACCCCUCCCAGCCAAGCCCUUUAAAAUGUGAGAAUAGAUUCUCUGAGGUGGAAGAAAGAGAUUGAAAAAGAAGAUAGGAUGAGAAGGAAGAUAGAAAGGACAAAUUGUGGAAUAGAUGCUCUGCUCUGGGCACUAAGGGUUGCAGAAAGAGAAUAAACCUUUGUUCACAUUGUCCACGUGUUAGAAAGACGUAUUCCUUGGGCCAUUUAAAACACCACCUGAAAAGUAGAAUCAAUAAUUACAGAUGCUUUGUAAAGAUGAGAAAGACUGUGGGAGGAUCAAAUUUCGAAUAGAGCUAAAACAUGUAAGGAACUCAAAGAACUCAAUAGCAAAAAAGCACAUAAUCUGAUUUUAAUAUGGG
rnacentral:lncRNA from 1 species